UGGCCACCCCUGCUCUAGUCUCAAGCAAGGCAGGUCCACCGUCUGAUUUAAUCCGUUCAACAAUGUGGCCCAAAUCUGAUUUGAAAAUAUCCGAUUCCAUGUGCUUUUUUUCCUGUUUACACAAGUGAGCAAAAAAUCGGUAUUGGGUCACUUUUACCAGGCGGUGUUAACGUAGCCUUAGUGAACCUGCUCAUUUAUUGGCUGCCAAUUAGAGCAAUCAGUAAGCUCCACCUCCUGCUUCUCACUUCCUGAAAGUUCAUUCACGUUUGUUUACUUAGCUUGGUUCCCCACUGACGAACGUAACUGCUUGGUUUAUACAAAGCGUAGCCCAUGCCUUGCAGUUUGGUAACAAAAACCGCCAAAGUAACCGGCCAGGGAACUACUGUACAAUGAUCUGCCCUUUAUUAACCAUCAAUCAUGGAAAAGCAAGUGAAAUCAUGAGAAUGCAAAUGGCGCUGUUGCUGUAGCAUCCGCCAUUAAACGUAGCUAACGCCAACUAAAUCGCCGCCGGAAGCGCGUGUGCAGAACACCUCUGUGGCCUGGUCUCUAACGACUGAAGGAAGUUUUUCGCGGGAGUUUGGAAUACGUGAAGUCAAAGCAGGUCCGCACAGUGGUGUGAAGGUGUGCAGGUGGGAAGGUGCUGUGUUGGCCUACCCAGGGUCUGCCCCGCCAGGACCCGCCCGUUCUCGGCGAGCACGGCCCCCCGUGCGUGCCUCUCGCUGGCGUACUGGACGAAGGCGUAGCCCUUGUGGAUGGAGCAGCCCAGGACCUGCCCGUACUGAGAGAAGAUGGCCUCCACGUCCGGCUUCUUCACCACCGCCGUGUUCAGGUUGCCGAUGAACACGCGCGAGUUGAUGGACUUGGGGUCGUUCUUGUUAGUCACGUUGCUGGUCUGGACUUUCAGGGACAUCUUGUUCCGUGGAUUUAAAAAAAAAAAUCUG